rnacentral:rRNA from 1 species
AAUAAAUGUAAUUAAAAUAAAAAGAGAUUAAAUGAUAAAUCAUUAAAUUUAAAAAAUUUGGCGGUACUUAUAAUUUAGAGGAAUCUGUAUAGUAAUCGAUAAUCCACGAUAAGAAAUACUUAUCAAAAGUUUAUGUAUUGCUGUUUUAAAUAUUUAAUUGAGUUAAAUAUAAUAAAAUUUAUUAAGUUUAAUAAAAUAAUUCAAGUCAAAAUAUAGCUUUUUUAAGAUUUAAUAUGGAUUACAAUUAAUUUAAUUAUUAUUUGGAUUAUAAAAUUUAAUUUUUAUAUGAAAGUGGAUUUAAAAGUAAAUUUAAUUAAUUUAUUAAAUUGAAUUAUUAAUAUAAGUAUGU